AGCAGCCGCGGUAAUUCCAGCUCCAAUAGCGUAUAUUAAAGUUGUUGCAGUUAAAAAGCUCGUAGUUGAAUUUCGGGGUUAGUAGGUUGGUCAUGCCUCUGGUAUGUACUGGUCUCACUGAUUCCUCCUUCCUGAUGAGCCGUAAUGCCAUUAAUUUGGUGUUGCGGGGAAUUUGGACUGUUACUUUGAAAAAAUUAGAGUGUUUAAAGCAAACUAACGCUUGAAUACAUUAGCAUGGAAUAAUGAAAUAGGACGUUCGAUCCUAUUUUGUUGGUUUCUAGGAUUGACGUAAUGAUUAAUAGGGAUAGUUGGGGGCAUUAGUAUUCAAUUGUCAGAGGUGAAAUUCUUGGAUUUAUUGAAGACUAACUACUGCGAAAGCAUUUGCCAAGGAUGUUUUCAUUAAUCAAGAACGAAAGUUAGGGGAUCGAAGACGAUCAGAUACCGUCGUAGUCUUAACCAUAAACUAUGCCGACUAGGGAUCGGAUGAUGUUAAUUUUUUAAUGACUCA
rnacentral:rRNA from 1 species